rnacentral:misc_RNA from 1 species
GUAGGUGAACCUGCGGAAGGAUCAUUACAGAGUUCAUGCCCUUCGGGGUAGACCUCCCACCCUUUGUAUACCUUGCCUUUGUUGCUUUGGCGGGCCGCCUUUUGGCCACCGGCUUCGGCUGGUGCGCGCCCGCCAGAGAACCCCAAACCCUGUCUUACAGUGUCGUCCGAGUACUAUAUAAUAGUUAAAACUUUCAACAACGGAUCUCUUGGUUCUG